ACUGUGGCCGGGUUUCCAUGGUGAUCCCCGGGUUGUGAAGCGCAAGCAGUGCCGUUACUAUGACGACAGCCGGAAGCCCGCACCCGGAAGUGUGUCACCGGAAGUGGACCUGCGGCUCUGGGCGCGUCUGGGAAGGAGAGGAUGGCGUGGACGGGCAGCGGAGGUACUUAAUGUGGUCCCUGUUAUACCUCCCACCAGCAGGAGUCACUGUUACUGACUAUAUAUGAAUUGAGGAGACUUCCGGCUGCUAUACACUGUUAAACUAUAAUACCCAGAACUAUUGGGAAAAUGUGUGACAACAUCCUGUUGAUGAACUACAGGAUGCCGUCACUUCCGUUGAUGGGACCAUAAUGCCGGGCAGAAGAAAGGAAACAUAAUGCUCACAAACCCAGAGGACGGCCACAUCCUGUUAUCUGGUCCACAAUAUGACAUCACUUCCGGUGAGAUCAGACGGAGGAUGGACUACAUUUCCCAUGAGCAUUGGGAAAUGGGAACUUCCGGCCAGCGUUACUUUUUAAAUUAAGUCCUGUAUUGGUGCAUUUUAUGUAUGAUCCAUAUGCAAAAAAAUUUAAUGUGGUAAACAAUUUAUACAAUAUAUUUACUGACCUGAAAUCCAAUUAAGCACGUGAGGUCAUUUCCUGCAUUAAUGUAAUUGGUUAGUGACAGUAUAAAUAUCAAGCUCCUGCACACUCCAUCAUGUCUUGAUAAAGGUUAUUCACCGAAACGCGUUGACACAGUAGUGUGAGUAGCUUCACACCUUCCAGCUGAUGUUUGUUACUUUCUUUUGUUUUUAACUUUGCAUGUUUUUUGAUGUUGGUGCAACUUUUAUUCACAUUGCGUGUGGAUUUUUGUAACAUGUUUUUAUACGGA